rnacentral:rRNA from 1 species
AACGAACGCUGGCGGCAUGCCUAACACAUGCAAGUCGAACGAGACCUUCGGGUCUAGUGGCGCACGGGUGCGUAACGCGUGGGAACCUGCCUUUAGGUUCGGAAUAACUCAGAGAAAUUUGAGCUAAUACCGGAUAAUGUCUUCGGACCAAAGAUUUAUCGCCUUUAGAUGGGCCCGCGUUGGAUUAGCUAGUUGGUGGGGUAAAGCCUACCAAGGCGACGAUCCAUAGCUGGUCUGAGAGGAUGAUCAGCCACACUGGGACUGAGACACGGCCCAGACUCCUACGGGAGGCAGCAGUGGGAAUAUUGGACAAUGGGCGAAAGCCUGAUCCAGCAAUGCCGCGUGAGUGAUGAAGG